GGGGGAACCAGGGGAUCCUGGUCGGCCGGGGCCUGUGGGAGAGCAGGGAUUUAUGGGAUUCAUUGGUCUGGUCGGGGAGCCAGGAAUCGUGGGAGAAAAGGGUGAUCGUGGCAUGAUGGGACCCCCAGGCGUGCCUGGACCCAAGGGGUCGAUGGGUCAUCCUGGAAUGCCAGGUGGUAUGGGGACCCCUGGAGAGCCUGGACCCCAGGGUCCUCCAGGAUCUCGAGGCCCACCAGGCAUGAGGGGAGCAAAGGGACG
rnacentral:lncRNA from 1 species